rnacentral:rRNA from 1 species
GACGAACGCUGGCGGCGUGCUUAACACAUGCAAGUCGAACGGAAAGGCCCUGCUUUUGUGGGGUGCUCGAGUGGCGAACGGGUGAGUAACACGUGAGUAACCUGCCCUUGACUUUGGGAUAACUUCAGGAAACUGGGGCUAAUACCGGAUAGGAGCUCCUGCUGCAUGGUGGGGGUUGGAAAGUUUCGGCGGUUGGGGAUGGACUCGCGGCUUAUCAGCUUGUUGGUGGGGUAGUGGCUUACCAAGGCUUUGACGGGUAGCCGGCCUGAGAGGGUUACCGGCCACAUUGGGACUGAGAGACGGCCCAGACUCCUACGGGAGGCAACAGUGGGGAAUAUUGCACAAUGGGCGGAAGCCUGAUGCAGCAACGCCGCGUGCGGGAUGACGGCCUUCGGGUUGUAAACCGCUUUCGCCUGUGACGAAGCGUGAGUGACGGUAAUGGGUAAAGAAGCACCGGCUAACUACGUG